GAUCUCUUGCCUCCGGGCUUGGGUACAAAUCCAGUUUCAUCUGGCUUGGCAACACGGGCCCUGGGCCUGGCUUUCCAGCCCCAGAACCCAACCUCUUAGUCUCAACCAGGCAGCAUGGGGGACUCAGAAGAAGGUGGGACUCACUCCAGUGCCUGCGUCCCAGGACUGCCAAGGGCCCCUCCCCAGGCUCAUAGGCAGCAGUCAAAGCCUCUAGCCAGGCUGAGCUCCGACUCACCCGGUCUCCACCCCGACCUCUGCCACAACAGGAGCGUCUCUGAGUGAAUCACCCAUGAGUCCUCCAGCCUCCAGCGGCUCCCUCGCUCCCAGCCUUCUUCCUAUGCUCUCUGUGCUCCAGACUGCCCUGACGAAACACAACUGGAU
rnacentral:lncRNA from 1 species